GACGAACGCUGGCGGCGUGCUUAACACAUGCAAGUCGAACGGAAAGGCCCUGCUUUUGUGGGGUGCUCGAGUGGCGAACGGGUGAGUAACACGUGAGUAACCUGCCCUUGACUUUGGGAUAACUUCAGGAAACUGGGGCUAAUACCGGAUAGGAGCUCCUGCUGCAUGGUGGGGGUUGGAAAGUUUCGGCGGUUGGGGAUGGACUCGCGGCUUAGCAGCUUGUUGGUGGGGUAGUGGCUUACCAAGGCUUUGACGGGUAGCCGGCCUGGGAGGGUGACCGGCCACAUUGGGACUGAGAUACGGCCCAGACUCCUACGGGAGGCAGCAGUGGGGAAUAUUGCACAAUGGGCGGAAGCCUGAUGCAGCAACGCCGCGUGCGGGAUGACGGCCUUCGGGUUGUAAACCGCUUUCGCCUGUGACGAAGCGUGAGUGACGGUAAUGGGUAAAGAAGCACCGGCUAACUACGUG
rnacentral:rRNA from 1 species